UAAUUUAAAGUCUAGCCUGCCCAAUGAUAAUUGAAUGGCCGCGGUAUUUUGACCGUGCUAAGGUAGCAUAAUCAAUAGUUUUUUAAUUGAAAGCUGGAAUGAAGGGUUGGAUAAAAAAAUAACUGUUUCUAUUUAAUUUAAUUAGAAUUUUAUUUUUAAGUUAAAAAGCUUAAAUUUUGUUAAAAGACGAGAAGACCCUAUAGAGUUUAAUAAAUAGUUAUAUUAUUAUAUUUAGAAUUAAUUUUAUUAAUUAUAUUAUUUAUUUAAUUGGGGUGAUUUAAAAAUUAAAAUAACUUUUUUUAUAUUAUAACAUUUAUCAAUGAUUAUUUGAUCCAGAAUUAGUGAUUAUAAGAUAAAAUUACCUUAGGGAUAACAGCGUUAUUUUUCUUUAGAGUUCAAAUCGAAAGGAAAGAUUGCGACCUCGAUGUUGGAUUAAAAUAAAUUUUUGGUGUAGAAGCUAAAAUAUUAGGUCUGUUCGACCUUUAAAAUUUUACAU
rnacentral:rRNA from 1 species